UUGAUCAUAGUUUUUGAGCCCACUGUCACAUGGGGUGUUGAACCUAACAUAUAGUAAUAUUACCUUUUUAAUAUUACAUAUUCUACAAAUAAAGGUGGUAUAGAGAGCUUUUGUAUGAAAACCCUUUGCUGCUAAUUCAAUCUUUAACUGAUUAAAAGACGUUCUUUGAAUAUAAUGUUUGUAUGGGCUUAAAUAGAAAUAUAGAAUACUAAGUUUACCUCAACUAUGAUUCACCUUUUCCAAUAAAGAAGUGUAUAAAAGAAAGUAACAAAUUGUACACAAUCUAAAAGAAGAUGCACUUACUGACUUAUUUAUGCCCACAUAUACUGCAUUAACGCAAUGAUCACCGAUGACACUUCAUUUGCGAAUGUUGUGUUUUGGUAUAGGGUGCAAAGUGUGCGAGCUGGGUUGCAAAGUGUGCGAGCUGGGGGAAAGUUGGGUAAUGGGUCAAAACUGGUCGGGUCAGGUUUGGUUGACCCAUAACUUUUAUAUAUAACAUGUAGUUUCUACUUUAAUUACAAAAUCGUGUUAUUUCAUGAUAUUUGCUUUUAUCCAGGUUUUUGUUUUGAUAAUUAUCCGAACAUGACAAUGAUGCAUAUCUUGAAGCCUAUGAAGGUCUUUGCCGGAACUAUCCUUACAUUGUUGAAUAAGAAGAGGGAGUAAGGCACCUAAUGAAAAUCCUUGCAGCCACUAGAAAGUAUUGACCCGCCUUAUUAUUUUCGGAUAUAUGUGCCUUUGUCAUAAAGAGACGACCAACAGACAACGACAACAACGAUGCAGUGAUAAACAAGACAAUUGAUGCCGUAUUUUUUAUAGCGCUGUGGUGCUUGAAUCGGGUUGUGAUUGGUAACGAUUUGCAAUGGUCGUGCCUACGCAACUUAUAUCGGAGGUUAGUAUGGUGAAAUUUGCAGUUUUUAAAUUUGAAGUCGCAUCUUUUUCAUUUACGCAACUAAUGGAGUUGAUCAACGUCUGCUAUCUAAUCUUCUCAUACAGUGAUGAGAUAACCGGAGCGACGUGUUGAAGCUGGUUAGUUUCGUGUUGGUCAUAUUCAUUUAAGUGUGGUCAUUUCCUGCC